GGAAGGCAGAGUCCAGUGAGGCUUGAGGAUGAUGCCCUCCCUGCAGUGACAUGCUCAUUCCCUUGGUUUUAUGUCACAGUGAAACUUGGAGCAUCAGAACGUAACUCAAAUCCUCCUUGGGGUACUGCACCACAGUGAUGGACAGGCCAUGGCUUUCUGUCUCAGAGGGAGCUCAGCAGAAAAAAAGAAGGAUGUGGUCAAGGACGUGAGUCGACACGCUCACACAGCACUAAGUGCAUGAGUGCAGCUCUAGCAAAGUAGGUCAUGUCAACAAGAGGCUGGCUGAGCGAAACGGGAUGCUCUGGUGUUCCAUUAACAUUAGCAUUAACAUUAACAUGAUGAGUCGCUCACUCCUCCCAUGGGGUCCCCAUGGACAUGGCUGCUCCCUCCCAUUGCUGGUGAAGCUCUGAAGAAGGAGAAUGGCUUUGGGAAGAGCUGCUGAGAGCCCAGCCCUUGUGGUGUGCAUGGAGGGAGGGGUUCUGGAGACAGAUAGAGCCUUUUGCCCACAGGAGGUGGGUGCUGGAGAGAGGAAGGAAGAGAAGAGGGUUUCUAGCCCAGGGAGGGAGAGAGGAGGCUGGUAGGCCAAUGCCAGUGCUCAGCAUUGCUAGUCCUUCCUCGCAGGCAUCAUAUGUAAAUUGAAAACAUCUACUCAUGACUCAGGUUCUCUUGUCAGCUCUCUACCAUGCUCAUCCCAAUCUCUUCCUUUCUGCUACUUCCUACACUGCUGCCGAGGCUGAAGCAACACCCUGAGGCUGUGACCACCUAUGCUGGUGUUUUUUCUCCAGGCUGGAGCAAAUAAAUAAAUAAGUCAUCCUCAAAGGUGCCAUUAAGGAGCAGAGAGUUAGUGAUUAGUGGCAACAGGAAAGGGGAAAAAAUUAUAAACAAAGAAGUCAUCGUCUUUUCCGUGGGGAGAGCACUUCUAAAAAUCCUUUAACAGGGCUCAUUAAAUAUUCAUGGACUCUGUGGCUGGCUAUACAUCCUGAUUAGCCCAUGGCUUCAGCUCAUUGUGUCCGGGGUGUUUCUGCUCCUCACUGUGGAAAUAAAAGCUGAUGGUCCAUCCUGCAUGACCACUGAAUCUGUGCAUUGGCGCAGGUUGCCUACCAGCCCAGGAGCCCUCCUGACCUUCCUGCUGGAGGAUCAGAGAAACACUGGACUUCACAG
ensembl:lncRNA